AUGGCCGCCUCCAAGGGGGCCGAGCCUCUCUCCUCCCCCCGGGAGCCCGCUGUGGGCAGGGGGGGGGGAGGACACGGGCGGAGCCACCCCAAUGGGACACAAGGAGAUGGGAUUAUUGCGGGGAGCUCCAGGGCUGGGGAGGGCACUUUUGACUCUGGGCUUUGCGGCUGCGUUCAAUCUCCGUGCGGCUUUCGGCAGCUCCCUCUCCGGACCCGAGCACCUCCGCUUCCCAAGGGGCACCCGGAUAGCAGAGGCUACAGAUCCAGGCUCUGGGCUUUGGGGAGAAGCGAAGCGCUCGAUCUAUGGAACGGGAGCCGAGCUGUCAGGCUGAGCCAGGGCUGCGGCGGUGCCUCCCGUCGGCCCGAAGCGACGAGAUGUGGGAAGCGGCGAGCGCUCGGCAGUCGCUGGGCGCGGCUCCAGGAGCGCGAUCUCGUUCCUGCGGCGGAGCGGCUCGCGGGACCGGCACGCUGCUGCGGCUGGCUGCGCUGUGUUGAGAACAGACGGAGCGGCGAGGCGGCAGAGUUGCUCUUCCCGCGGGAGAAGCGGCAGGUAUUGAGCCGUGCCCGGGGAUGGAUGGGGAACGAGCGCGGCGGUGGCCUGGGAGGAGAAGGCGGGGGACAUCAUCCAGCCCGGGACGAGGAGGCCGGCGAGAGCUCCGGCACGCAGCUGGAAGCAGCCUCCCGGCUGCGGGCAUCACUGCUCAGGGUGGGCUGGAACCGCCCUGCGGGGCGCGCUGGUUGCGGGAGAUUCCCGCAGGGUGUGGAAGGUACAAAUUCUGACUUUGUUUCUUACAGGAGCUGCUCGGAGGCAUCGCUCAGGUUACAGCAUCGGAAGCGGUCCCGCGAGUGGUGA
rnacentral:lncRNA from 1 species